AUUAGAGCAGUGACGAGCACUUUUUGUGGACUAGAGUUUCUGAUACUACCUUGGUAGUAUUUGACGACCAAACCCUUGGCUGUCUGAGCUCUGAA
rfam:Dichanthelium oligosanthes cultivar Kellogg 1175 unplaced genomic scaffold Do_version_2_scaffold516, whole genome shotgun sequence.